ACGAUAUAGUGGCAGACGGGUGAGUAACGCGUGGGAACGUACCUUUCACUACGGAAUAGCUCUGGGAAACUGGUGGUAAUACCGUAUACGCCCUCCGGGGGAAAGAUUUAUCGGUGAAAGAUCGGCCCGCGUUGGAUUAGCUAGUUGGUGAGGUAAUGGCUCACAAAGGCGACGAUCCAUAGCUGGUCUGAGAGGAUGAUCAGCCACACUGGGACUGAGACACGGCCCAGACUCCUACGGGAGGCAGCAGUGGGGAAUCUUGCACAAUGGGCGAAAGCCUGAUGCAGCCAUGCCGCGUGAAUGAUGAAGGCCUUAGGGUUGUAAAAUUCUUUCGUCAGGGAUGAUAAUGACCGUACCUGAAGAAGAAGCCCCGGCUAACUUCGUGCCAGCAGCCGCGGUAAUACGAAGGGGGCUAGCGUUGUUCGGAACUACUGGGCGUAAAGCGCACGUAGGCGGACUUUUAAGUCAGGUGUGAAAUCCCGGGGCUCAACCUCGGAACUGCAUUUGAAACUGGGAGUCUUGAGAUCAGGAGAGGUUAGCGGAAUACCGAGUGUAGAGGUGAAAUUCGUAGAUAUUCGGUGGAACACCAGUGGCGAAGGCGGCUAACUGGACUGAUACUGACGCUGAGGUGCGAAAGUGUGGGGAGCAAACCGGAUUAGAUACCCUGGUGGUCUACACCGUAAACGAUGAGAGCUAGUUGUUGGCAGGCAUGCCUGUCGGUGACGCCGCUAACCCAUUAAGCUCUCCGCCUGGGGAGUACGGCCGCAAGGUUAAAACUUCAACAAAUUGACGGGGGCCCGCACCAACCGGGGA
rnacentral:rRNA from 1 species